GUAGUUAGCCGGGGCUUCCUCCUUGGCUACCGUCACUUUCUUCGUCACCAAGGACAGAGGUUUACAACCCGAAAGCCUUCUUCCCUCACGCGGCGUUGCUGGGUCAGGCUUGCGCCCAUUGCCCAAUAUUCCCCACUGCUGCCUCCCGUAGGAGUCUGGACCGUGUCUCAGUUCCAGUGUGGCCGAUCACCCUCUCAGGUCGGCUACCGAUCGUCGCCUUGGUGGGCCUUUACCUCACCAACUAGCUAAUCGGACGCGAGCCCACCCUUCACCAGAUUGCUCUUUUGACCUCUGCGUCAUGUGGCGCUGUGGUCUCAUGCGGUUUUAGUGCACCUUUCGGUGCGUUAUCCCCCUGUGAAGGAAAGGUUGCUCACGCGUUACUCACCCGUCCGCCGCUAAUCCACUUCCGAAGAAGCUUCAUCGCUCGACUUGCAUGUGUUAAGCACGCCGCCAGCGUUCGUCCUGAGCCAGAAUCGAACCCUGA
rnacentral:rRNA from 1 species